AUGGCUACGAUUGAAGAUAUAGGUGUUUCUGCAGCUAUCAACAUACUGAGUGCCGUCAUAUUCCUGCUAGCAUUUGCUUUCCUACGGCUACAGCCCAUCAAUGACAGGGUUUACUUCCCGAAGUGGUAUCUGAAAGGUUCAAGACAAAGCCCAAGCCAUGGGGGUGCAUUUGUACGGAAGUUUGUAAAUUUGGACAUGCGAUCAUACUUGAAGUUCUUAAGUUGGAUGCCUGCUGCUCUCCAAAUGCCAGAGGAUGAGUUGAUUAGCCAUGCAGGGCUUGAUUCAGCUGUCUAUCUGCGGAUCUACUUGACAGGGCUUAAAAUAUUUGUUCCAAUCACAAUUCUAGCAUUUCUUGUUCUUGUUCCUGUUAAUUGGACAAAUGAUACCCUUGAGGGCUUGAAGGUAGAGCACAGUGAUAUCGACAAACUUUCGAUAUCCAACAUACCUUUUGGGUCGAAGAGGUUCAUAGCUCACUUGACUAUGGCUUAUGUUUUCACAUUUUGGACAUGCUAUGUUCUGUUGCGGGAGUAUGAAAUAGUCGCAACAAUGAGAUUGCGUUUUCUUGCAUCAGAGAAACGCCGCCCAGACCAGUUCACAGUCCUGGUGCGGAAUAUACCACCUGAUCCAGAUGAAUCAAUUGGUGAGCUUGCAGAGCAUUUCUUCCUUGUGAAUCAUCCUGACCACUAUCUCACACAUCAGGUUGUUUAUAAUGCAAAUAAGCUCGCCAAACUGGUCAAAGAGAAGAAGAAGAUGCAGAAUUGGCUCGACUACUAUCAGCUGAAGUAUGAAAGAAAUACAAGUAAAAGGCCUACUGUUAAGACUGGUUUUCUUGGAUGUUUUGGUUCUAAAGUGGAUGCUGUUGAACACUGCGCAUCGGAAAUUGAGAGGAUAGAAAAGGAAGAAGCUGAAGAACGUGAAAAGAUCGUGAAGGAUCCCAAGUUAGUUGUUCCAGCGGCAUUUGUCUCCUUCAGAACACGGUGGGGUGCAGCAGUAUGCGCUCAGACACAACAAACCAGUAAUCCGACGGUUUGGUUGACUGAGUGGGCUCCAGAACCUCGUGAUGUGUACUGGGAUAAUUUGUCUAUUCCAAUUGUUCACCUUACAGUUAGAAGGUUGAUAAUUGCGGUAGCAUUCUUCUUUCUGAACUUCUUUUAUGUGAUCCCAAUCGCAUUUGUUCAGUCCCUUGCAAAUAUUGAAGGGAUUGAGAAGGCAGUUCCAUUUCUGAAGCCUAUAAUUGAAAUGCCUACUAUCAAAUCGUUCAUCCAAGGGUUCCUUCCUGGAAUUGCUCUGAAGAUCUUCCUUAUACUACUCCCAAGCAUAUUAAUGUUUAUGUCAAAGGUUGAAGGAUUGACAUCAGUGUCUUCAUUGGAAAGAAGAUCUGCAUCGAAGUACUAUAUCUUCUUAUUCUUUAAUGUAUUCCUGGCAAGCAUCAUUGCUGGAUCUGCUUUGGAGCAGCUACAAACCUAUCUUCACCAGUCAGCAAAUCAAAUACCAAGGACAAUUGGUGUAGCAAUUCCAAUGAAGGCAACCUUUUUCAUAACGUAUGUAAUGGUUGAUGGAUGGGCUGGGGUAGCUGGUGAAAUAUUGAGAUUGAAGCCAUUGGUUAUUUUCCACUUGAAAAACUUUUUCUUGGUCAAGACUGAGAAAGACAGAGACGAGGCAAUGGACCCUGGAAGUAUUGGUUUUGAUUCAAAUGAACCCCAAAUACAGCUCUAUUUCUUACUUGGUCUCGUCUAUGCUGUGGUCACGCCGUUUUUGCUUCCGUUCAUAUUGGUAUUCUAUGUGCUCGCAUACGUGGUCUACCGCCAUCAGAUAAUAAAUGUGUACAAUCAAGAAUAUGAGAGUGCGGCUGCAUUUUGGCCAAGUGUUCAUGGGCGUAUAAUCACAGCAUUGAUCGUAUCGCAGCUGCUUUUCCUUGGAUUAUUAAGCACAAAAGGCGCAGGCCAGUCAACACCAGUGCUCCUUGUUCUUCCUGUGGUGACCUUUUAUUUCCACAAAUACUGCAAGAACCGCUAUGAACCUGCUUUUGUGGAAUAUCCAUUACAGGAGGCAAUGAGGAAAGACACCCUAGAACGUGCGCGAGAGCCAGGGUUUGACCUGAAAACGUACCUGGCAAGCGCGUACAUCCACCCGGUUUUCAAAGGCGGCGACGACGAUGAGAAAUUCUCCAUGAUGGAUGAAGCGGAGGCAGACCAGGUCCUUGUGGCAACGAAGCGGCAAUCGAGACGGAACACCCCUGUCCCUAGCAGACACAACGGUUCAGAAGCACCUUCUCUGCCUGAAAUUGUAAAUGAUCAGCGACUAUGA
rnacentral:rRNA from 1 species